rnacentral:lncRNA from 14 species
CCAUGUCCGCAGUGUCCCCGGUGCUGUCACCGUCUCACUGGUGCUGUCACCGUCUCACUGGUGUUGUCACCGGUGCUGUCACCGUCUCACCACCGCGGCUCUGUCCCCACAGGCGCUGGGUCGGGGGCGCCGGUGGCCGCUGGCAGCGACUGUGACCGUGGCUGAACUCGGUGUCCUCGUGGGUUCCCUUGACCUCCUGUCACCCGUCCUGUCCGUCUUCUGGCUCACCUCCUACCUGGGCUUGAACUUGGCCUGUGCCCUUCAGGGGUUGUUGCCCACCCCCGGAUGGAGCCCCCGUUGUCGCCUCUAUCAUUGGGCAGCGUCGCUGGCGGGUGCAGGGCUGUGCCUGGCACUGAUGCUGGUUGCCUGUUGGUACUGUGGGCUCCUGGCCCUGGGCAUCGGUGCCACUGCCUACAAGUACCUGGAGUACCGGGGGUAAGUGUGGGGGUACCCAUUGGAUUGAUCCCAUGUGGGUUUUGGGGUCACCAUCUCCUCCCCAUCACCCUCUUGUAGGGCACAGAGCGAGUGGGGUGAAGGGCUGCGGGGUCUGUCGCUCAGCGCCGCACGGUUCGCCCUACUGCGCUUGGAGGAUGGGCGCCCACCCGCUGCCAGCUGGAGGUGAGUGCUAUGGGGCAAUGUGUGGGGCAGCGCUAUGGAGGUGAGAGCUAUGGGGCAAUGUGUGGGGCAGGUGUGGGGCAGAGAACCACUGAAUGGAGCCGCAGAAGCAAUCAGGGUGGAAAAGAGCUUUGGGAUCACUGCUGCCCCAUGGCAAUGAGGGCCCCAUCUCCACAUCUCCAAUGCCUCAGCACCCUAUGGGGCAGGAAUUGGUCCUCAGCUCCAUCCUAACCUGCCCUGGUGCAGCUUGAGGUCCAGCCCCUCCUGGCUCCAUCCUCCUGCAGGCACUUGUAGGGAGCCCUCAGGUCCCCCCUUCUCCAUC